rnacentral:snoRNA from 1 species
GUCCAAGAAUAAAGAAAGCUUUCCUAGUAGCAACUUGGAAUAAAAUCUGGCAUGCUUGAGGUUGAGGGAGAGGGGAUGGCUCUUUUCCUUUGCCUUCCUUUGGCUGCCUACACAC